AAGUCGUAACAAGGUCUCCGUUGGUGAACCAGCGGAGGGAUCAUUACCGAGUUUUCAACUCCCCAACCCUUCUGUGAACCUACCUAUCGUUGCUUCGGCGGACUCGCCCCAGCCCGGACGCGGACUGGACCAGCGGCCCGCCGGGGACCUCAAACUCCUGUAUUCCAGCAUCUUCUGAAUACGCCGCAAGGCAAAAACAAAUGAAUCAAAACUUUCAACAACGGAUCUCUUGGCUCUG
rnacentral:misc_RNA from 1 species